rnacentral:rRNA from 1 species
GAUGAACGCUAGCGGCAGGCUUAACACAUGCAAGUCGUGGGGCAGCGCGAGGUAGCAAUACUUUGGCGGCGACCGGCAAACGGGUGCGGAACACGUACGCAACCUUCCUCAGAGCGGGGAAUAGCCUCUCGAAAGAGAGAUUAAUACCCCAUAGUAUCUCGAAACUGCAUGGUUUGAGAUUAAAGCUUCGGCACUUUGAGAUGGGCGUGCGGCUGAUUAGGUAGUUGGUAGGGUAACGGCCUACAAGCCAACGAUCAGUAGCUGAUGUGAGAGCAUGAUCAGCCACACGGGCACUGAGACACGGACCCCGAUCCUACGGGAGGCCAGCAGUGAGGAAUAUUGGCAAUGGA